AAACCUCAAGGAUCCAAGGCCUCUUCCUUCUCUGACCUCGUCUCACUCCACUACCCCCUUCCUCUUUAUGCUCUAGCCUCCCUUGCUCUCCCCAUGCUUUGUUCACACCACACACCCUCUCUUCUGAGAGCCUUUACCCAUGUUGUUUCUUUGGCCUAGAAUGGUGUCUCCCAGAUCUUUUCAGUCCUCAUAACAACUUCUUGUCCAUAUCUGAAGGUGUCAUUUCCUCAGAGAGGCCAUUCACCACGAUCCAAUCUAAAAUAACCCCAUUUAGGGCUUCCCAGUCCUCUUGAUCCAUUACCCAAUAUUCUUUUUCCAUGGUGUCUUUCAGUAUCUGAUAUGAUCUCAUUUGUUUGGUUUCUUGUUUCUUUUUUUCUCUAUUCCUCCCUUGAAUAUAAUCUCCAUGAAAACAAAGGACCAUAUUUACCAUGUUCACUGUUGCACCCAAAUCUAGGAUAAAGGCUAUUCAAAUGGUUGCCAAUUAAAUGAAUAUUUGAGUGAUGUAAGGCACUACAUUUAAACAUUGCUUUAUUCCAGGACUGGAAAAUGUUCAUAUCUUUCCAAUGGAUAAAUAACCACUUUUUUGAUUUCCAAACAUGGGGAAUCAUAAACAUCUCAUGUUAGCUCAGGAGUUACAUAAUACCAACACCGUUAUACUUUGAUGUCAGUAAUUUCAAUUUAGACCCAAGUUGGAAAUGAUCACAGUUCUAGAUGUUCCUUGUUUUAUAUGUAUAUGAUGGUUUUAUUUAUGGCACUCUCACCCAAGUUGGAGUAUGAGUGGAUAGGUAUACUUUGACAAAAGAGAGAUUAAUUUACUCAUUUAUUUAGCAAAUAUUUACUGGGCAGUUCUUAUCUGCUCAGUGCUGUGAUUGGUAUAGGCCAUAAAUUGAAGUAGCCCCUACUUGCCUGGAAUUUACAGUUUACUGAGAGACAAGGUAAUUAAAGAGUUCCACACAAUGAAUCAUAAAAAGGGCUUCUCCCUGUGAUGUGUGCCUUGGACUCAGUUUGCUAGGAAGAUGCCCUCUUUGGUAGAUAAAACUGGUCACAUAUCAAUGUAGACAAAGGGUUUAAUGCUCAGGUCUUCAUAUCUGACAAUGACCUUGUAAAUUUCAGGAUAUUUCAGAUAAGACACCCAACCCAUCAUGUAGCUUUAGUUCAGGUCUAGGGUUGCUAGGUCUAGUGUUAAUCUGUGACCUGAAAAAAGGGAAAAGUCCUCUACUUCAGGUUGUAGACUAAAAGUCAGUACUGCCUUGACUUUUAUAAAGAGAUCUUGGAGGAACAGCAUAUUUCUUUAACUUAACUUUUAACCUUACAACACUUUGAGUAUAACAUCCCUGAAUAGAAGGGGGUUACCAUGCACUGGCUCUACCAAGAAUAUGCAACAGUUAUUAAGAAUACCCACUUUAUUUGAAUGAAACUUUUGUACCUAACUCUCUCUUCUGUAUUCUCACAACUUAAAGCUCUGUCAUCAGACUAAAGCCAUUAGUUGUAUUUGCUAAAUCAACACCAUGGGGUUCCAUCCCAGAAAUACACAAUUAUUGGGGCUCGGUCUCAAAUGCUUUGCAUCGAUUCUCAGCAUCACAGCAGAAAGAGUCCCAGAAACCCUGCCUGUAAGCUAAAAUCCACUGCCAGAUUUCAGCACCAAUCUUGACCUAAGGCAGCAGAUGGUAAACAAGUCUACUGGGAUUUGGUUUCAGGUGAGAUGCGCUGUUCUUCAACAGUGACAAUGCAAUCUAUUUCUUGAAAUCCUUUUCUGCCAUUGUAUAUCAUUCCUUGUCUCGCUUGAGGAGCUAUAAGUUGUAUAACUUAGCAUUUACAUGGGCCUUUGUCUUUAUUGCUGUUGAGUAGUCUGCCCAUUUCUCUCCUACUAACAGAGAACUACUUUUGUCUUUAGACAAAUUUUCUAAAAUUAGAAACUUGAAAAAGAAACACGGAGAAGACAAAAAAUAAAAUGAAAUAGAAAAAUAAAACAAUGACUGUAUAAACUCUCUGAAACUGCCUUAAGGUUCUCAGCUUACACCAAAGGCUAACAUAAUUUCAGUUUUAUUCCCUUGGGAUAUUGCAGCAAGCUAUCAGAUCCUGAGCAGCUUCUCUUACAUCUUAAGCCCUAUCUUGUCUGGAGAAAAUAAUUAUCUAAAUUCCAAUAUAAAAGGUAACCUAUUUUUGUUGACCACUUCCAGAGAGAUAAUUGAAAGUUGGUAGACAUUUAUGGAUAUACACAUUAAAGUAUGUAGUAUACCUAUAUUAGUAUUGGUUCUAGUGCUACUGGUAGUAAUUGGUGGUGAUAUCAUUUUUCUAUUUCUAGCACCCUUUUAAGAUUACUGACAACAUUCCCAGUUGAACUGAAUAAUUUACCCUCUCACCUGCCAGCAGCUGUCAUUAUAAAAAUUGCCAAGCCAAUUCAGAGAGCAUCUGCACAAUGGGGGUACUUAAACUUUCAACAACCUUCAAGAAAGCCUAGACUCAUCAUUACCUCUUGUCAGCUUUUACAUGAGCUCAUCUUUUAGUCUCAAAAAGUUGGCAGAUUAGAAGAUUAUAUAUGACAGACCUGAAAUAACAUCCAUGACAUCCUUCCUUAGUAGUGUCUCUGAAAAGAAACAUAAUGAAAAGUCAUACUUAGAAAUUUUGUAAAUAUGUUACAAAUUGAAGGAAGUUAGGUAUAUAGCUAACUACUUACAACCUACUCCAUUUAUCUGCAAUAAAGUAAAUGAGUAAGCUGAGAUUUUGAGUAUUACAAGGCGAUUUAUCAGAAAUGCUAUAGAACGUUACUACUUACUGGUAUAUAUUAGAUUUUUGUUCUUAUGCCCAUAUAAUUUAUUCCACUAGGGAGCUUGGCAAAACAUAAAUCUUUUGAUUAUAGUCCUAUCUGCUUAAAAAAUUCUUCUUUCUCAUCAUUCUGUUUCUGGAUUUGCGUUAUAUAUAACUGGUUUAUUAUAUGUAAUGUAUAAUAACCCUCUCUAUUUGUCACAGCUUCUGAAAAAAUUUGUAAAUAAAACUAUUCUUUACAGUGACAAUGAUUUCUUUUUCCAGAAACAAAAUCCAUUAAAUACAUAUACAACUUCCAAUGUCCAGGGAUCAGCAUUACGUAGCAUAGACUUUAAUUCUAGGC
rnacentral:lncRNA from 1 species